rnacentral:misc_RNA from 1 species
CUCUACUCGCCCCUUCCAGGAAUUUAACGGAGGUUUUGACGCGUCUGACUGUCCGAUCUCGCGGCCUCCAGCACAGAUGCAGCCAGAGAACGGUUUUGCGUAGAGAGAGUGGCGAAGGCAGUAUGCGAUUAGGCUUGAAGAGGAGGAGAAAGAUAAAGAGAUGUUGCAGCAGAUGACAGAGGAGGCAGAGGAGUACAAGGGGGAAUUCUAUAGAAAGCGUCAAUUGACUAUUAAGAAGAACAAAGCGUCUAAUAGGGAGAAGGAGAAGCUAUU